rnacentral:rRNA from 1 species
CAAACGAGCUGUGAUCCGGGGGUGUCCGAAUGGGGGAACCCAGCACGAGUCAUGUCGUGUUACCCGCGCCUGAAUAUAUAGGGUGUGUGGAGGGAACUCGGGGAAGUGAAACAUCUCAGUACCCGAAGGAAGAGAAAACAACAGUGAUUCCGAGAGUAGUGGCGAGCGAAAUCGGAUGAGGCUAAACCAUGCACAUGUGAUACCCGGCAGGGGUUGUGUGUGUGGGGUUGUGGGACCGCGUGGAUCUAUCUGCCGGUAGGUCGCACAGUAAGAAAGUACGCGUGAAGUCGAAGUCCGUUGGAAAGCGGCGCCGUAGAGGGUGAUAGCCCCGUAGGUGUAAGUGCGUGCCUGUGUCGCGGUAUCCCAAGUAACACGGAACCCCUGAAAUUCCGUGUGAAUCUGGCGGGACCACCCGUUAAGCCUAAAUACUCCUUGAUGACCGAUAGCGGACAAGUACCGUGAGGGAAAGGUGAAAAGUACCCCGGGAGGGGAGUGAAAUAGUACCUGAAACCGUGCGUCUACAAGCAGUUGAAGCACUAUGCCCCAUUAGGGGAAUGUGCAACAGCGUACCUUUUGCAUCAUGGGCCUGCGAGUUACCCUAUGUCGCAAGGUUAAGCCGAGAGGUGUAGCCGGAGCGAAAGCGAGUCUUAACAGGGCGAGCAGUCAGCAGUGGCAGACGCG